GAUGAACGCUGGCGGCGUGCCUAAUACAUGCAAGUCGAGCGAACAGACGAGGAGCUUGCUCCUCUGACGUUAGCGGCGGACGGGUGAGUAACACGUGGAUAACCUACCUAUAAGACUGGGAUAACUUCGGGAAACCGGAGCUAAUACCGGAUAAUAUAUUGAACCGCAUGGUUCAAUAGUGAAAGACGGUUUUGCUGUCACUUAUAGAUUGAUCCGCGCCGCAUUAGCUAGUUGGUAAGGUAACGGCUUACCAAGGCAACGAUGCGUAGCCGACCUGAGAGGGUGAUCGGCCACACUGGAACUGAGACACGGUCCAGACUCCUACGGGAGGCAGCAGUAGGGACUCUUCCGCAAUGGGCGAAAGCCUGACGGAGCAACGCCGCGUGAGUGAUGAAGGUCUUCGGAUCGUAAAACUCUGUUAUUAGGGAAGAACAAAUGUGUAAGUAACUAUGCACGUCUUGACGGUACCUAAUCAGAAAGCCACGGCUAACUACGUG
rnacentral:rRNA from 1 species